ensembl:snRNA U6 U6 spliceosomal RNA
GUGCUUGCUUCUGCAGCACAUAGACUAAAUUUGGAAUGAUACAGAAAAGAUUAGCAUGGCCUCUGCUCAAGGGUGAUAUGCAAAUUCGUGCAGCUUUCCAUAUUUUU